UACGAAGGGGACUAGCGUUGUUCGGAUUUACUGGGCGUAAAGCGUGCGUAGACGGCUAUCUAAGUCGGGUGUGAAAGCCCCGGGCUCAACCUGGGAAUUGCAUUCGAGACUGAAUAGCUAGGGUGCGGUAGAGGGAAGCGGAAUUUCCGGUGUAGCGGUGAAAUGCGUAGAUAUCGGAAGGAACAUCAGUGGCGAAAGCGGCUUCCUGGACCAGCACCGACGUUCAGGCACGAAAGCGUGGGGAGCAAACAGG
rnacentral:rRNA from 1 species